rnacentral:rRNA from 1 species
ACGUCACUCCUGCGGGAGGCAGCAGUGGGGAAUAUUGGACAAUGGGCGCAAGCCUGAUCCAGCCAUGCCGCGUGAGUGAUGAAGGCCCUAGGGUUGUAAAGCUCUUUCACCGGUGAAGAUAAUGACGGUAACCGGAGAAGAAGCCCCGGCUAACUUCGUGCCAGCAGCCGCGGUAAUACGAAGGGGGCUAGCGUUGUUCGGAUUUACUGGGCGUAAAGCGCACGUAGGCGGACUAUUAAGUCAGGGGUGAAAUCCCGGGGCUCAACCCCGGAACUGCCUUUGAUACUGGUAGUCUUGAGUUCGAGAGAGGUGAGUGGAAUUCCGAGUGUAGAGGUGAAAUUCGUAGAUAUUCGGAGGAACACCAGUGGCGAAGGCGGCUCACUGGCUCGAUACUGACGCUGAGGUGCGAAAGCGUGGGGAGCAAACAGGAUUAGAAACCCUGGUAGUCCCA